ACUCCUACGGGAGGCAGCAGUGGGGAAUAUUGGACAAUGGGCGAAAGCCUGAUCCAGCCAUGCCGCGUGAGUGAUGAAGGCCCUAGGGUUGUAAAGCUCUUUUGUGCGGGAAGAUAAUGACUGUACCGGGAGAAUAAGCCCCGGCUAACUCCGUGCCAGCAGCCGCGGUAAU
rnacentral:rRNA from 1 species